CCAAUCCUGCCCGGUAAAGAGUGGCGAUCAGCCGGAAGCGAGCCUUGCGCGGACUGGGGUGACCCAGCCGUGAAGCGUAGGCAGUGAUCGCAGAAGCCGCGUGAUUCAGCCUCGAAAGAGCAAAAGUUGCGAGAGCCUUUGCAUUUAUAACUGCAGGGGCAGUACCGACCUGCUGUAGGCGCCUGGCAGGGUUGGUCUUGCCGGGGUCUUGGAGCG
rfam:Spirochaetes bacterium DG_61, whole genome shotgun sequence.